CCUACGGGGGGCAGCAGUGAGGAAUAUUGGUCAAUGGGCGUAAGCCUGAACCAGCCAAGUAGCGUGAGGGAUGAAGGUUCUAUGGAUCGUAAACCUCUUUUAUAAGGGAAUAAAGUGUGGGACGUGUCCUAUUUUGUAUGUACCUUAUGAAUAAGGAUCGGCUAACUCCGUGCCAGCAGCCGCGGUAAUACGGAGGAUGCGAGCGUUAUCCGGAUUUAUUGGGUUUAAAGGGUGCGUAGGCGGAUCGUUAAGUCAGUGGUAAAAUUGGGGGGCUCAACCCCAUCACGCCAUUGAAACUGGCGCCCUUGAGUGGAAGAGAAGUAUGCGGAAUGCGUGGUGUAGCGGUGAAAUGCAUAGAUAUCACGCAGAACCCCGAUUGCGAAGGCAGCCUGCCGGCUUCCGACUGACGCUGAAGCACGAAAGCGUGGGGAUCGAACAGGAUUAGAUACCCUAGUAGUC
rnacentral:rRNA from 1 species